UCUGGUGUCUGACCCAUACUGCUGUUCUCCUUCCUUUGCAGCUCUUCUGAGACAGUAUAUUGCCACAGCUGGAGAAGGACUGUUGCCGAAUACGUGAACCCUCAUCCUGUAUUCAACAAUGUCCUUGCUGGGAUCAUUAUCUCUAUACCACAGAAAGCGUUGUAUGGCAGUUUUUCCACGAUGGGUUUGAUGCUACGGGCGGUAUCCAGGUACUUCGCCAUGUCCAUCAUCACUGAAGACUCUGGAGGGACAACCUCUAGCAUUCUGUUCAGAAUCAGACACACUUGAAACCCAACAGUUGGUGAAAAAAAACACCUGCUGGACUUCAUCUGGACAAACCUGGGAGGUUACGUCACUGAUCUCGAGUUGCUGUUUCUCCCAUCAAACCUCAAUGGAUAGCCACAGCGACCACAGCUUUUCCAGACCCUAGCGGCUGGCGGUUGGGAGCACGCUCAGUUGCUGCUGCUCUGUUUCCUGAACAUUUCAUGAUGCUUCACAAACCUGUGAGGGGCAGUAAAAAGUGAUAUUUCCAUUGCGACCCAUGUGUGUGGACGGUGGACAGGUCUAUAUGUGUAAGGAUGCCUAUGGUGGCCCCAUGAUCGGAAGGUCGGGGGUUCGAAUCCACUGAACGGCUACCCUGAGGUACCCCUGAGCAAGGUACCGUCCCAGUGGCUGCCCACUGCUUCACUGAGUGGGUUAAAUGCAGAGUGGAAUUUCCCCACGGGGAUCAAUAAAGUAUACAUUAUUAUUAUUAGGUCUUUCCGUAUGAAUAGGUGUGUAGUGGGUUAUUGUCUGCUUCUGUGUUUAUGAAUGUGUGUAGAUGUGACACUGGUUGCUCCAUCUGCGAUGACCUCAUUGUAAUAAUGACACCAUUAUUCUCUCUAACUAAGAUUCCA
ensembl:lncRNA